rnacentral:rRNA from 1 species
GACGAACGCUGGCGGCGUGCUUAACACAUGCAAGUCGAACGGAAAGGCCCUGCUUUUGUGGGGUGCUCGAGUGGCGAACGGGUGAGUAACACGUGAGUAACCUGCCCUUGACUUUGGGAUAACUUCAGGAAACUGGGGCUAAUACCGGAGAGGAGCUCCUGCUGCAUGGUGGUGGUUGGAAAGUUUCGGCGGUUGUGGAUGUACUCGGGGCGUAUCAGCUGGUUGGUGGGGUAGUGGGUUACCAGGGCUUUGACGGGUACCCGACCUGAGAGAGUGAUCGGCGACACGGGAGGUGGACCACGGACCAGGGUCCUACGGGAGGCAGCAGUAGGGAAUCGGCCGCAGUAGGCGGAAGCCUGACGCAACGAGGCCGAGUGUGUGGUGGCAGUGUUGGGAGCGGGAUGCUGGCUUUCUAGUGGUGAACAGAUGUGGAAGGUGCUGUAGAGUUCGUGACGGUACCGGGUCAGAAAGCACCGGCUAACUACGUG